rnacentral:rRNA from 1 species
UAAGGAAUAUUGGUCAAUGGACGCAGGUCUGAACCAGCCAUGCCGCGUGGAGGAUGAAGGUCCUCUGGAUUGUAAACUUCUUCUAUCUGGGACGAAACACUUCUUUUCUAAGAGGCCUGACGGUACCAGAUGAAUAAGCACCGGCUAACUCCGUGCCAGCAGCCGCGGUAAUACGGAGGGUGCAAGCGUUAUCCGGAUUCACUGGGUUUAAAGGGUGCGUAGGUGGGUAUGUAAGUCAGUGGUGAAAUCCCCGAGCUUAACUUGGGAACUGCCAUUGAUA